rnacentral:rRNA from 1 species
UACGUAGGGUGCAAGCGUUGUCCGGAAUUAUUGGGCGUAAAGAGCUCGUAGGCGGCUUGUCGCGUCGGCUGUGAAAACUCGGGGCUCAACCCCGAGCCUGCAGUCGAUACGGGCAGGCUAGAGUCCGGCAGGGGAGACUGGAAUUCCUGGUGUAGCGGUGAAAUGCGCAGAUAUCAGGAGGAACACCGGUGGCGAAGGCGGCUACCUGGACCGGUACUGACGCUGAUGCGCGAAAGCUAGGGUAGCAAACAGG